AGAGUUUGAUCAUGGCUCAGAACGAACGUUGGCGGCAUGGAUUAGGCAUGCAAGUCGAGGGAAUCCCAGCAAUGGGGGAACCGGCGUAAGGGGCAGUAAGGCGUGGGUACCUACCCCGGGGUUCGGGAUAGCCAUCAGAGAUGGUGGGUAAUACCGGAUGACGUGGUGACACCAAAGAUUUAUCGCCCCGGGAGGGGCCCACGUGAUAUUAGCUUGUUGGUGAGGUAACGGCUCACCAAGGCCAAGAUGUCUAGCGGGUAUGAGAGUACGACCCGCGCCACUCGCACUGAGACACUGGCGAGACACCUACGGGUGGCUGCAGUCGAGGAUCUUCGUCAAUGGGCGCAAGCCUGAACGAGCGAUGCCGCGUGCGCGAUGAAGGCCUUCGGGUUGUAAAGCGCUGUCGAGGGGGAGAAAAGCCGAAAGGUCUGAUCUAUCCCUGGAGGAAGCUCGGGCUAAGUUCGUGCCAGCAGCCGCGGUAAGACGAACCGAGCGAACGUUGUUCGGAAUCACUGGGCUUAAAGGGCGCGUAGGCGGGCUGUCAAGUCUGGGGUGAAAUCCCGCGGCUCAACCGUGGAACUGCCUCAGAUACUGACGGCCUCGAGGGAGGUAGGGGCGAGCGGAACUCUCAGUGGAGCGGUGAAAUGCGUUGAUAUUGGGAGGAACUCCGGUGGCGAAAGCGGCUCGCUGGACCUUUUCUGACGCUGAGGCGCGAAAGCUAGGGGAGCAAACGGGAUUAGAUACCCUAGUAGUCC
rnacentral:rRNA from 1 species